rnacentral:rRNA from 1 species
CCUACGGGUGGCAGCAGUGGGGAAUAUUGCACAAUGGGGGAAACCCUGAUGCAGCGACGCCGCGUGAGUGAAGAAGUAUUUCGGUACGUAAAGCUCUAUCAGCAGGGAAGAAAAUGACGGUACCUGACUAAGAAGCCCCGGCUAACUACGUGCCAGCAGCCGCGGUAAUACGUAGGGGGCCAGCGUUAUCCGGAUUUACUGGGUGUAAAGGGAGCGUAGACGGAAGCGCAAGUCUGGAGUGAAAUCCCAUGGCUUAACCAUGGAACUGCUUUGGAAACUGUGCAGGUAGAGUGCAGGAGAGGUAAGCGGAAUUCCUAGUGUAGCGGUGAAAUGCGUAGAUAUUAGGAGGAACACCAGUGGCGAAGGCGGCUUACUGGACUGUAACUGACGCUGAGGCUCGAAAGCGUGGGGAGCAAACAGGAUUAGAUACCCCAGUAGUC